AUGAGUUGGGGAAUUGAGUAUGAGCUGUAGGAAAACCAAAAAGAGUUGUUAAACCUUCAAGCUAGGCCUUAAUGUGCUAGAACAUAAUGAGCAAGGAUUGUACGUGACUAUCAAGGCUAUGAAGCCUUAUAUAUAUAACUGUCCACCCUCUCUAUUCUUGUUUUGUUCAUUCCAAGCUCUCUUGCUCUUAUACCUCAUAACAAACCAAAGCUUUGAAUUCUGAAAUUACAUAAGAAGAUAUUAGUGUUUGAAGAGAAAGUUGAAGGAAAAUCCCAGCAAAAGCUUUGAUUAGCAGAAGAACUAGAAAAAAUUUCUUCAAGCAAGAGGUAAAAUUCUAUCUCCUGUUAUUUAUAAAAGCUAAGUAGUAAUUGAUAUAUGUCAAAAUUGUUGACUGUGUUGGUUGGGAAUUGUUGUAGUGGGUAUGAUCAUAUAAGAUUCCUAGGUGAAAUCUGGGGUUAGAGCACAUUUAGAAUUUUAUGAAAUAGAAGCUUUGAGAUCAUGCUUAUAAGUUGUAUGAUAUAAUGUUCAAGUGAGAAUUUCCUGAAAAUUUAAGAAAUUAGGGAAAUUAAGUCAAGUACGUGGUAUUAAGAAAUGUUGGGAACCUGUCUAAAGUCAUAUUGACUUGAAAUACAGCAGCUAAGAAACAAAAUUUGAAAACUUGAUGAUUUAAAUUCUGGGUUCUGCAGUUGAAAAAUCAAAAUAGAGCAUGUCCCGAAGUGGCGCAGCCGCGCCACUUCCUAAGCCAAAACCAGCACGGCCACGCUGGUAUGUAGAAAUAGUUUUCUAAGUUUUUUGUUAGAUUAGCUUGGAUCAGAUAUAUAAAGGCCAAGCAUGUUGUAAUAACCUCAAUCCAUGUGUAUAGUAAGGAAGUUCAGAUUCUGCAUAAGCCUAGCUAUAAACAAAGCCGUUCUUGAGAUUUUGGUGGCCCGGGGUAAAAAAUAAAAAUGAGACCUUUUUUCAAAACAUUGUCUUCACCCAAAAAUAAAGGUAAAAAUAAAUAAAUAAAAAAUACAAGUUGCAUCAAAAAAGUGCAUUUUCGAAGCUUAAAACAUUUAUAAUAGUUCGACUACAACAAAAUAUAUGAGAAUACAUUCAUUGAAAGAUACUUCUUUUAAUAUUCCUAGAGCCAAAAUAUUCAAUUCAAAUGUUUAAAAUCAUAUAUAUAUAUAUAUAUAUAUAUAUAUAUAUAUAUAUAUAUAUAUAUAAAUUGGGGCCCUCUGAUCGGAAGCCCAGGGCGGUCGAUCCUCCCGCCCGUGCUCAGAAACGGCUCUAGAGCCUAUAAAAGUAGUAAACUAAUUGAACUUAGUUUGAUAAAAAGAAUUUGCAUGAUAUACUAAAUUGAUUUUUAUUGGAGACCUGACCUAGCUUGGAAUUUCCAUGACAUAUGUGUUGGUGGCUAAAGAACCCUAGCAUAUCAAGAGUGAAGAAGGGUAAAGAAAACCUAGUUUUUGGACCUCAAUAGGAGUAGCACAGCCGCACCACUCCUAGGCCAAAUGGCAGUGUGGUCACGUCGUGCUGUAGAGCAUUCAAGAUAAGUUUGAUAUGAUCUGGACUUUGGGACAUAAGAUUAUUAGUCUAUAAAUUUUAAUACAUGAGACGCAAGGUGUCUAGCCUAUCCAAACAUAGAAUGACUAAGUUAAAUAAAGGUUGAAUAAGAAAUUUUAAAUAAAACCAAGGAACGAGAUAAAGAUAAUACAUUAAGUUAAUGUGAACUAAGUUGUAUGGAUUAAGUAAAAAAGAAAGGGAGAAAUUAUUCAUGUUAACAACUCAGGAGGAGCUAAUAAAGGAAAUGGAAAGACUGAAAAUAGAAGUGCAGGGACCACGAGAGUCCGGGGAGAAGUUGUUCAUAAUAGGAGCUCAUCCGACGUUGUUAGAUAGAGUGAAGGAAUCGCAAGAGAAUGAUGAAGAGUACAAGAAGAUAAAGAAGAGGAUAGCAGAAAACGAAGAAGAAAACUUUAAAAUGGACAAGAAUGGUAUACUAAGAUUCGAAGAUUGAAUGUGGGUGUCGACCGUAAUUGAAUUGAGAGAGGAGAUCUUGCACGAGGCGCAUAAUACGGCAUAUUCUGUUCACCCAGGAAGCACUAAAAUGUACCCUUGAAUUGAGAGAUGAUGUCUUGCACUAAAAUGAGGUCACUGAGUGACGCCUUUUGGGACUAGAGUUAGUUCAACAAACAGCUAAUGUAGUGACAACAAUAAGAGCCAGAUUAGUAGCAGCUCAAGAUUGCCUGAAAAAAUACGCAGAUUUACAUCGUCAGAACUAAGACUUUGAAGUUGGUAGUUUUUUGUUUUUGAAAGUGUCUCCUUGAAAGGAAAAUUAAGAUUCGACAAGAAAGGAAAAUUGAGUCCAAGGUUCAUAGGACCAUUCGAAGUAUUUAAGCGAGUAGACGAAGUGGCGUACAAGGUAGCUUUACCGCCUAAACUGGAACACAUCCACAACAUGUUUCAUAUCUCCGUGUUACGUCUAUACAAGCCCGAAUAUAAGCACGUGAUAUCCUAUGAGCACAUUCAAGUAGAAAAGAAUUUUACUUAUGAAGAAAUUCUUAUUCAGAUAGUAGAUAGGGAAAAGAAAACGUUAAGGAAUAAAAUUAUAUCUUAUGUAAAAGUAAUUUUGCAAAACCACAAUGUCGAGGAGGCUAGGUAGGAGUUAGAGGAUAAGAUGAGGAGGGACUACCCCCAUUUGUUCAUGUAACCUUGUACAAAUUUCGAGGAAGAAAAUUUUAUAAGGGAGGGAGGAUGUAAUAUCUGUGAAUUUUAUGAAUAAUAUUAAUAAUUAAAUUUAUAAAAGUGUGAAUAUUUAUUUAAAUAUAAAUAUAUAAAUGUGAUAAUUCAAUUAAAUUGAAUUAAGCAUAUAAUAAUUGAGAAAUGUGGUGAAAAUGAUAAAGAAGCUUAUGAGAUAUGUCUAGUGUGGCAAGGUGAUUAAAUAAGUAAAUUAUUAAUUAAAAUAAUGAAGGGAGAAAUUAAAUUAUGUGAUGGAUUAAUUAUUGUUAUGUGGAAUUACAUAUGUUGUGGGAUCAUAUAAAUAAUUAAUCCAUAAAGUUACUUCAUAUAAUAUGAGAUAUCUACAAUAAUAAUAUAAUGUAUAUGGAAAACUAUAUGGUAAAAGUAAGUUGGAAUUAUAUGAUUUACUAAGUAGUAUAAAAGAGCCUUGUGUGGCAUUAUAUUACAUAUAGAGUAAUUAAAUGUGUAUCUCAAAAUUGUGGAAGAAAGUUAACUUUCAGAAAAUAAACAUUUAAUAUUAAUUAUCAUAAUAAUAUUGGAGUGUAACUGUAAUAAUAAGUUUGUGGAAAAUAAUAGAUUUUAAUACCCAAUUGAAUUAUAUUCUGAUCCAAAUUAAAUAUUAAUUGGACUAACCCAAUGUACAUGAAUUAUAUGAUUACAUAUCUAUAUAUACCUAACUUAUCACAAGGUAAUAGUAUUAACUUAUUAAAAUUGCAUUUGUGAGUCCAAAAAGGAAUUGACUUCAGUCAAAUUGGUAGCCAUUUGGUAACUUAGUGAACUAAAAAGGGGUGUCCCAAAUUGAUAGUCCCAUUACAUUUAUUAGCCGUAUACUAGGCCAAUGGCCUAUUCCCCUUCAAUUUCAAUUCUCAAAAAAAUCAAAUGAUGAGUGGGGAGUGGCCUCUACAGUGCAUUCAACUAUUCACCAAUACCCAUCAUCUUCUCUUUCUUCCUUUAGUUGAAAAUGGUGGACAAUAGCUUGACAUGGAUAUUGAAUUCUCUAUAAAUUGGAGCUCCCUCCUUCUCAAUUCACUGCUAAACAAUUCAUGAUAAGUUAAUAUAUAGUGUGAGUAUACUAAGUUAGAGAGGAGUCUGAGUUGAAAGCCGCAGUACCUAAUCAAUUUCAAGCAGAGGUAUAAUUUCUUAAACCAUGUUCUUAAAAUUUUGAGUUGAUAAAUUCUUGGGAAUGCAUGAAUUGCUUGUGAAUUGGUGGUAUGUUACUAUCAUGAUGAUAGUAAAUCAAUGUCUUAUAUUUAAUUGGGAUAUUGUAUGGUAGAAAGAAUGAAUUGUACGGUAACUAUUUAUUCAAAUGUUCUUUUAUUAUUAAUGUUAAAAUCUAUAUUAUCUGGAAAGUCGUUGAUCGCUAAGGGGGCUUACCCUUAUUGUAGAAUAAAUAUUAUUUAAUUAAAUAAAUUAUUAGUUUAAUUUAUUUAUUUAAAUAAAAUUAGAAUUAUUCUAAUUGAUUUAUUCACAACCGGUUUAAUAUGGAGAACCUAAAGGGUCAUACUAUAAAAGGCAGAAUAAUUAUUAAAGAAGCUAAUGGCAUAAUCGUAAUAAUAAUUUAAGUAUAUUUAAUUUAAUCUAUGGCGAUAGAAUAAAUUAAAUAGGUUAAUAUUUAUUAUUAAAUAUUUUGAAAAAAUUAAAUAUUAAUUAAUAAAAGGAGUCUUAUUAUUAUUAUUAUUAUUAUUAUUAUUAUUAUUAUUAUUUAAUUCCUAAAGGAGUUUGGGAAUUAAUUAAUUAGAUACUCUCUCUCAUAUAUAUUCUUAAUAAGAUUAAGAAUAUUAUUAUUGUUGUUAUUAUAAUUAUUAUUAUUAUUAUUUAAUUCCUAAAAGAGUUUGAGAAUUAAUUAAUUAGAUACUCUCUCUCAUAUAUAUUCUUAAUAAGAUUAAGUGGCUAUUUAAUUAAAAGAGUUUAAUUAUUUACAAUUGGAUUGGGAAGCCUAAUUAAUUAAAAUGGUUUAAUUAAUUAAUAUGAAACCUUAAUACUAAAUAGUUAGGAGGGUUGCCUACAUCUAUAAAUAAGAAAGUCUUAUUAUAGAACGAAUAGACAGAAUAAGCUUAUUUUUUUAGUAUUGGGAGAGUAUAGAGAUUCAAUAAAGAUAGAAUUAGGGUUUAACAAAACACCCACCUUCUUAAUUCUUCUUCUUCCUUGGUGGAUCACCUCUAGAGGCCAAACACUUGGGUGGCUUGCAUUGAUCAAUGGAAGGAAUCAAUCUCGUGAAUUCAAGUUGGAGUAGAACUGUACCUGUGGAAGCUCGAUCUACAAGGGUAUGAAUCUCAUCUUCUUCUCCUUCUUGUAUGUAUUGAUGACUAAGCUUAUAGGAUGAUCAUGGUGAUGGUUUGCAUUAAAAUUUUAAAAUUCCCACUUUCGCGCUUCCGCUUUAUUUAUGUGAUUUGAUUACGUAAUCAUGCUACGUGCAAACCUAACAGUGGUAUCAGAGCCAAUUUAUAUGUUAAUUAUCAAUCUUUCUGAUUCCAUGUAUUUAUCAUAUGCAAUUGGAUCGAAAUUUUGGGCAACAGAAAAAAAAAAAUUUGGUUCUGCGACAUGGCGCAGUUGUGUCGCGCCUCAGUUCAUUCUGGGCAUAGUUGCGCUGUUCUGCAGUGUCAAUUUUUCCCGAAGGACAGCGCAGUUACGCCCUCCCUUUGACAUAAUUUGAAAAUUUUAUUUUUUUUCUUCAAUUGAAAGAAAUGGUUUAUUAAAUUGAUAAAUUUAAAAAUAAAAGAGUUUAUUUUGUCUGAAAUUUGAUUUCAGAUUGCUAAAAAUUAAAGGAGUUUAAUUUGGACUUGGUUUUUGAUUAAAAUAAAAGAAGUUUAUUUUGUUUCAAAACUAAAUAUUAGUAAAACUUUUGCCCAUUAAUUGAUAUCAAUGCAUAUAUGGAAUGAAUUUAUGAUUCAGGUGAAGAAUGUUAUUUAUUGAUGCAUGUGUUAAUAUGUAUGAUAAUAAAUGGGGUUAAUUAUGGACUUUUGACCAAUGCGAUGGGAUUUAAUUUUAGUUGGAUGCAUGAAUGUAUGAGUUUUAUUAAAUAGGGUUUGUUUACCUCAUCUUCUUUAAUUUUUCUUGAUGUAAUUUCUAUCUCCCUCCUAUGUACUUCUCCUUGACUGCUGAUCAAUGUUUCUAUUUAUUGUAAAUAGUUUAUGUAAUAGGAUUAGUUAGAAUUACUUGAAUAAUAUUGGAGACCAAGGAGCAAGGAGCGCAUGUAGACCUAUUUGUAAUGGAGCCCGUGAUUUAAAUAUAAUAGUUAUAUUUAAAUUUAAUUUUUUGCACUCCUAGGUUUGACCUUUUGGUUCACUUGGUGACUCUAGUGAACCAAACUAGAAUAAAGUUCAUAAUCAAUCUGGGUAGAAUAUAGUAUUCUAUAUGCAUGCUUAUAUUAUAUAUAUAUAUAUAUAUAUAUAUUAUAUAUCAUGAAACAUAUUUCGCAUGUUAAUUAAUAUGAUGCGUAUUUUAUAUAUAUGUGUGUGUGCAUGCACGCUAAGCAAGAUGAGAUAAUUAAUAACAAACCCCUCAAAGUAUUUAUAUUAUGUUCUAAGCGUUCAAAUAUAUUUAGAAUAUCGAACGUCGCCUUCUAGCAUGAUAAAAUUAAUAGAGCAUUAAAUAUUUAAUAUAAGUUUGGUGUGUCAUUACAAGACAAGUAUUAAAUAUUUAAGAUGUUAAUUUAUCACAUUUGAUGCUUAUAACGAAAUUGAACAAUACUAUUUUGUUGUGUCGUCACAAGGACGAUAUUUUUCUAUUUGAAUAUAUGAAAGUGCUAGGUUGAACUUAACUUGGAUAAUUUUGGUUCGGAUGUGUCACCACUUGAUCAAAAUAAUCUAAGAGGCAUAAAAGGAGUUAUAUAAUGAUGUAAUUGACAAUAGUUGUCAACCUAUUUAUUUAUAUAUCGUUUAUUGUGCACCACAAGGCUAUAUAUAUUUGAAAUAGGAUCCUUAUUCUCACUAGCAAAUCUUUAAAUAGUUUUGUCGAACUAUAUAUUAUAAGGGUAAUAUAGUUUGAUGAAAAUAGUGAGAGAUACAAAUUUAAAAUAAGACCUAAUUUACUUUGGUAAUUAAUUAAAUGAAUGUAUGCUAAAAUGUUAUUUUAUUUCACAUGCAGAAUUUGAAAAAUGUCACACUCACUAUCAUUGUGUAGCAUACUUGAUGCUAACAAGUUGACCGAACCGAAUUACACGGACUAGUUAAGAAAUUUGAGAAUUGUUCUCACUGCUGAAAAGUUUUCUUAUAUCCAAGUUUCACAUGUCCCUGCAAAGGUUACAGAAACAGCCUCUAAGGAAGAGAUUGCUACUUUUAGAAAAUGACAAGAUGAUGCAUCUAUAGCAUAAUGCAUCAUGCACGCAUCCAUGAGUAACGAGCUAUAACGUCAGCACGAGAAAAUGGAUGCCUAUAUUCUAUUUUGUUGCAACUAAAAGAAUUAUAUCGUGAGCAAAGCAGAAUUGCUAGGUAUCAGAUAUCUAGGGAGUUCUUCCGAUCUCGCAUGUCCGAGGGCACUACUGUUGAGACCCAUUGUCUAAAAUUGAUUAAUUUGAUUGAACAACCAGAACAAUUGGGGUUCAGGAUGGAUGGGGAGUUAAGUCAAGAUUUGAUCUUGCAGUCACUCCCAGACACCUUCUCAUAAUUUGUUAUGAAUUUCCACAUGAAUAAGUUGGACGUCAGCUUGCCUGAGUUAUUUAACAUGUUGAAAUAUGCUGAAGGGCACUUCCCAUCCAAGCGAGACCAUAUCUUAAUGGUAGAUGAUUAUUCCAAGAAAAGGAAGAGGCCCAAGGUUUCUUCUGAAAAAAAGAAGAAAAGCAAGAAGGUUAAGCGGAAGGGGAAGAAAAGGGACAAUAAGAAACUUGAUCCAGACAACAAAGGAAUAUACUUCUAUUGCAACAAGUCGAGUCACUGUGAAAAGUACCUUGCGGAAAAAGAGCAGAAGAAGCUUGGAGAAGCUUCAGGUUUGUUCAUGAUUGAAAUUAAUUAUUCUCAAAGUUAAAAUUCUACUUGGGUAUUAGAUACCGGAUGUAGUUCUCACAUAUGUAAUAUUGUAUAAGGAUUGAUCAGAAGUAGAAAGCUGAACAAGGAUGAAGUCGUCCUACGAGUGGGAAAUGGAUCAAAGGUUGCUGCAUUAGCUAUAUGGACUUAUUGUUUAGCACUGCCUUUGGGCAAGUCCAUUUAUUUAAAUAAUUGUUAUUAUGUUCCAACACUUAUUAGAAAUAUUAUUUCGAUUUUUGUAUUGGAUAUAGAAGGUUUUGAAAUUAUGAUUAAGAACAAUAGUUGUUCCAUUUAUAAUAAGAAUGUUUUAUAUUGUGUUGGUAAUUUAUGGAAUGGACUUUACGUAAUUGACUUGAAUGAAAAUAUACUUCAAAUUAAACAAACUAAUAAAAGGAAAAGAGGCGAUGUUAAUUAUACAUUUAUGUGGCACUGUAGACUCGGUCAUAUUAAUGAAACAAGAUUAUCCAAGUUCCAUAAGGAUGGACUCUUAAAGCUAUCUUAUAAGACCCCAAUUUUUUUUAAAUAAAAUAGAAUUUCCUUUAUUUAUUAUUUUGAAAUAGUAAGGGUUUAUUUGAUUAAUGUGGUUAGUUAUGGGUAAAAUGCGCAAAUAUUUUAAAUAAGCAAGUGGUUAUAAAAUAUUCAUUGUUGUCGAAGAAUAUUUAUUUGGUCGUGUAAUAUUCUUGCUGUCGGGGAAUAUUCGUACGACGACGCAAACUUGUGUGGGCCCCAUAACGGAAAGUGAUUGGAUGAAGAAAACGACAAAUAUAAGUUAUUUAUAAAUAAUGGCGUAGUUGUUACCGUUAAUAAUGUUAAAAUACCCGGUGGUCAAAACACAACAGCACACGGUAUUACACCAAUUAUUGAUUCUUACGUAAGAAGGCACUACUUAAUAAUUGUUACAGUAGUUACUAUUCAAUAUUUUAUUUUAUUGAUUCAAUAAUUGCUACGUUAAUAUUUUAUAUUAUUGUUGUUUCAAUAAUUGUCACUACACAGUAUUUUCAUUAUCAGAUCAAUAAUUUAUAUUAUUUAAAUAAUAUUAUUAGAUAACAUUAUUGGCAAUGUCUAGAAAGUUCUGUCUAAGGAGAGGUUUGGUCACUUAAUUGCACGCCAAUAAGGAGAAAUCCUUAUUGGAAAGCCCCCUCUUUCCUGGGAACAGCCUGGUUGCCAGUAUUGUGAUUCUGUAAUAUUAUUUAUGAAUAAUUAAUUAUUAAUUUAUAUGAUAAGGAAAAUAUUCAUUUUAUGUGGAUGUAGAUGGAGAAAAUUUUUAAUGUGACAAUUGUUGAAAAUUGAUAUUCUAUCUUUUUUUGAUAAAAUAAUUUAUUUAAAUAUAUUAUUAUAUUUUAAUAAUAUAAUAAUGGUGAUAUUUUUACAAUGAAUGUGUGAUAUAUGAAUAAAUGAGGAGAAAGAGUAUUUUUAUUACAAAAAAUGUUUAACACAUGUUUUGUGUUACAAAAAAUAUUUUAACACAUGUUUUGUGUGUUGAUGGACCCCAUUUUUGACUGAAAUUUGAUUAUAGCUUGUAAAAUCGCCCGUUUGUGGAUUUCAGUCAUUUUCUGUUUGGAAUUUGGAAAAAUUUUCUUCUGCAAAGUUGUAGAGAAUGGAAUUUCCUAUGGGAAUGACAUAAGGUUUGAAUUUUUCUGAUAAAAGGGCUAUUUAUUAUGAAUUAUUGAAGUUUCGAAGUUCUGAAAUAAUUAAUAUUGGGAGUUUAAAAUGUUUUUUUGUAAGAAAAACGUUUUUAACAAGUUGGUGGGCCCACUUAUGUGGUAAAUGUGCUGAAAUAGGUUUUCCAAGUUUGCGUAUGAGUUUUUUUAUAAAUAUUAAUAUUAUAUUAAAUUUUCUGCUUUGGUGUUCUAAGCAUUUUUCUAUAAAUAGGAUGCUUAGGUUAGAAUUGAAAAUCACACCAGAAACUGAAGAUUUCUCUCUCUAUAUUAUCGAGCGUAUUCUUGUGAGUAUUUUGAUAUCUUGAGUGUUUCUAUACGGUACAAGUUCCUUCAGCACUAUAUCCAGUAUUCCAGUCAGAAGUACUGUCUUUUCGAGGUAAGGGAUGUUAUUUUUUUUAGAAAUGAUAUUAUUUCUUUCAAUAUCAUUAUGCCGGAAUAUUGGUAAGAUUUUUUUUGUAAAAUUCUGAUCUUUUCAUGUUAGAGUUACUAUUCACGAGUUACUAUUCAUGAGUUACUAUUCAUAAGUUACUAUUCACGAGUUACUAUUCACGAGUACUAUUCACGAAACAUGAUGAUUUUUCUUGUGAAAUUUCUACCUUUUAGUGUUGGAGUUACUAUUCACGUAUAUGUUACUAUUCACGUAUACGACACUAUUCACGAAUACGACACUAUUCACAAAAAAAAUUAAAUUUUCUUUUCUGUGUCCAAAAUUGUCUAUUAUGGUCCCUAUCUUUUAUUGGAUCGAUGUUUUGAUCUUCAUUUUUGAAUUCUGCUCUAUAAUAGUUUAUUAUGGAGUAUUUUUAAACUUGAAUUGUCUAAAGUAUGAAUCUUUAAUAUUUGUUCUUUUGUUUCACUAGAUUCGUUUUCUUUAAAAUAUUUUUCAUCAUCCUCAGUCCUAAAUGAUGAUAUAACUGAAUAUAUUUGGCCUGUAGUGCAAAGAUGAAUGAUUUCUUGAUGAAUAUCUUUGGCCCGUAGUGCAAAGAUGAACAGGUGUUGAGAUGAACAUGACCGAUUGAUUAAUAUCUUUGGCAUGUACUGUAAAGAUGACUAUUUGAUUAAAGAUGUAUAUUGAUUGAUGUUAUAGGGAUAAAAUAUCGAUGAUGGACUUUUAAAUUCAUAGAUGAUAGUAGAUUUCAUUCUCUACUUAAUUCUUCUAAUGAAUUGUUCUUUCCGCUGCAGUUGUUGAUCUAAAACUUGUUGUCUAUUGUAUUCUAUCAGAUUUUUCCCUGUUGAAGACUUAGGAUAAUUUGUUGUACAUUAUCUUAGUCAUAAUAUUCUUUACUGGGCUAGUUGAGCUCACCCUUUUCCUUUUUGUUCCAUUUUUCUUCUCAGGAGGCGAGAAUAGAGCGGGAACUAGUUGGGGUGUGGAGUGAUGGUUCAAGACAGUUGUUUUAGUAGUCCUCACCAUUUUUAUAAAAUAAUGUAUCAAUAACUGUAAUGAGGACUUAUUUGGGUGUGAAUAUUGCCUAG
rnacentral:lncRNA from 1 species